GCAAGUGACCGAUCACCCGAGCAGAUAAAUUACGGUACGUGACGCUGUUGUUCCCUAGCACGCCUAAAACGAGUGCCAGGCUCUUUGAUAAAUGAAUUAUCUGGCACUUUAGAUACCAUUGUGCACAGGAACAAGAGUGCCGCAUACUGCAAUUUCCCCCCUCCAGUGAUCGGUCACUUGUGCGAAUCUUUUUUCGCUGCAGCUGUACAUAAUAUACAUGGUCAGGAUAGAUAUAAUAAUAGAAGUUGAGAAUUUCAGAAUAGUGCCUCUUUGCAUGCUGGCACAGCCUUGAAUUGUGGCUAUGAGCUACCAGCGCUGCAAGUAGCACUGCUUGGGCAGAAUAUAGUUCAAGACACUUUGAGACAUCAUUGUUCUUAUCUGCAUUUGUAGAGCUCCAGUUUCUGUGAACAACACACGUCUGGUGGAAGAGUGGCUUGCACCUGCAGCUGGGCCCAAUCAAUAGCUAA
rnacentral:lncRNA from 1 species